ensembl:lncRNA
CUGGAGAUCUUUGCAUACCUGAGGCAUUUUGAAGUCUGAACAGCCCCAGCUCUCUCAUCAGACUGUCCUUGUAGGAGAGGUGCUCCACCCCUUGGAUGAUGUUUGUUGCCCUCCUCUGGAUGUGCUCCAACAGGUUUAUGUCUCUCCUGUACUGAGGUAAUCCACAUUUGGAUGCACUACUCCAGGUUCUAAAAAAAAAAGUGUCAUUGAAUCAUGAGUUCUUCUUGUAGUUUUCUCUGGAUUACUUUUCCAAGGACAGUAUUUGUAUUUCAAGUUAGUCAAGGGAAGUGUCUCUUUUCUACUGACGAUAUCCUAGCGUGAUGUAAUCUCCUCUUCAACUUCACUAUUGUUUAUAGUUUGUUUUUGAUGUUGUUGAUGUGACUUGAUGCUUGGAGGGAAUUCCUCAGAUUCCCCUAUUUUCGCUUGAAUAGAAAUGUUACACAGGCCAACAAAGGAAAGGUUGCAUACAUGGAAAACUUAGAGCUCAAAACCAAUCACGGUAGCCUAGAGACAGGAAUUUAAAAUAUGCUUUAGAAGAAACCUCACCAACAAUGGAACGCAAGGACCUACAGAUCUUUGAGAAGUUGUGCUUCGCUUAAGCAAAGUUGGAAAUUAAGACUCUUGCAGUAAAAACAUCUGUUGCAGCCACACUUCUAUUGAAAAUAGGAUUGUGAUCACAAAUAUCAUGCUGCUCUUCAAAAUAAGUGGCUACCUAUGUAGCUGUACAUUGGAGGCAACUCCAUUAAGCCAGUGGAAUUUCUCCAGUAUGAAAUAAUUCAUCAAUCCAGGCUGGUAGAUAGCACUGCUUUAAAUUUUAAUGACUUAAAACUUGUUUGAAUAGCACUUCCAUUGAGAAAUGCUGCUGCUUUUUUCUACUGUUAAAAAGACUGUUUUCAUGUAGAAAAUCAGUUGUAAAGCAUAUUUUCAUUAUUUAGGAUGUACAAUACAGAAUAAAUACCCACAGUGAGUAAC